rnacentral:rRNA from 1 species
UACAGGGGGGGCAAGCGUUGUCCGGAAUCAUUGGGCGUAAAGAGCGUGUAGGCGGCUUGGUAAGUCCGCUGUGAAAGUCCAGGGCUCAACCCUGGAAUGCCGGUGGAAACUGUCAGGCUCGAGUCCGGAAGAGGCGAGUGGAAUUCCUGGUGUAGCGGUGAAAUGCGCAGAUAUCAGGAGGAACACAAUGGCGAAGGCAGCUCGCUGGGACGGUACUGACGCUGAGACGCGAAAGCGUGGGGAGCAACAGG